UAACCCAUUCUCGUCCUCGGGCCUCUUAGCAUAGGUUUGCUACUAUGAGCAACCUUCCGUGUUAGAUUUUCCCCGCGCGUACUAUUCCGUCGCAAGCAGAAACUCGUCUCCGAUGCGUCGCAUCAUCGUCACAAUUUCUCUCCGGCAUUAUAACUUUUCUUACUACUUUGGAAUUUCAACGCGAUGACAAACGAUUUCUGUAAUUCAAUUCUAGUCAUUAUCGAGUCUGUGUCCGUGUUUGCACACGCGCUGAAAAAAAAGAGAGACAGAGUGAGUGAGUGAGUGAGUGAGUGAGUGAGUGAAUGAGUGUAUGUGUGUCAGAGAGAAAGAGAGAGAGAGAGAGAGAGAGAGACUAGGAGAAAGAAAUAUAUGCCUCACGUGGUCCACGUCUCACACCACAAAACCAUCUCGUUUCGGUUUAGGAGUGCGUCGCACAUCGCACAUCAUGCAUUGCACCGCGUCUCCAAUCGCUUUGUUUGUAAAAUCAACGCCUGCGGUUACCUAUGAAAAUUAAAUGUUUAAUUGCAAUUUAAAUAUAUGUUUAAACAUGUUCUUUCACUAUCCUUUAUCUGUUCAUCGCGAUGCAAAUGCACCUGUUGAUUCCCAUUCCGAUCGAGUACAAUGUAAUAAUAUGAAUUUGAACGCGUCGCGCGAUAUCCGGCGGUACACGAAAACUGCCGGACACGCGUUUGCACGGUUCAUCCAUUUUGUAAUUUUUACAUUGAAUUUCUCCUACGUAUCGGAUCGGUUUUUCGACGUUACCAGCUAUUGUUCCAUGCGCAAAUGCGCGCGUUCCAUAUAUGCACAUACAUACGUGUGUAUGCCCGUGCAGAUUACAUACACCAAAUUGGAACGAAUGCGAAUACGAAUAGAAAUACGAAUACGAAUGCGAACGUCAUACACCCACUGCGCCGUUUGUCUUCGUUGCGAACGAGCCGACAAACGAGUGCAAAGCUAACGAUCGUUACAGUUAAUUGAAAGACACGAGCUGCGUUGUGUAUGGUCUAUCCGUUGCGUUUCACCCCUGCAUCUCUCAUACCUUUAACUGUCGAUGUUUGGCGAAUAAACUGUGUAAACACUUGUACUUGGCCGUUAUUGUGCGAGAGGAAUCUCGAGCGUGCCCGCCGAUUAAAUGGAAAGGAUGAUCAUGCCAUACAUGCUUCGGAUUACGUUGGACCUGGAUUCGAAAAAACGAGUGAAACGAUUACUGAACGAUCAAGUACCGUCGCUCGUUGUUAUUCAUUGUUACACGCUGAUGCUCGAUGUUACUCGUGAAGCUCGCGAAUCUCGUGAAACUCGCGAAUCUCGUGAAGCUCGCGAAUCUCGCGAAGCUCGCGAGUCCCGUAAUUCCGUGAUUCGUCGUGGGUCGCACGUCUGAUCGCGGCUCGCGAAUCACUGCAACGAAAAAGGUUGUGUAUCUUACGAAAUUCUACUAAACGAUCCCGUCGUGAUUAUACAGAAAAUCGACCUAAUUUUGCACGAGUGCAUGAAACUCUACUUACCGUACACAAAAAUGGCAGGGUUUAACACUACAACUACCAAAGCAGUCAAAACGACCGGUUCUCCAUUUCUUCCAUUUACAGUUUUUUGAUGUUAUAAAAAUGCAUCUGUGACAAAUUUUCAGAUAAACCUCUUCAUUCCUGCAUAUAU